UCUUUGCCUCCGGAUCUUGAUGAUCACGUUGUUCUCUGAGAAUGUAGCACCGGUAAAUUGCCAAACCAGAUGGCGGUCUCCGGCUCGGUUUCUCUGCUUCUGCGUCAAAUGUUGAAGCAGCGCCUCACAGUUCAUGUGAUUUUAAUUGCAGCGGUGGAUUUGGGUUUCGCGAGGAUCGACCGACUACAUUUGUCAUGUAAUUUCUGCUUCCGGUCGUGCAAAGAGGAGUCUAAAUGCUUGGCAUCACAGGAAUAAAUGCAAAGCCCACUCAGUGCUCGCGUACAUCCAUACAAAGACAAAAACCACAGCUUGGGAACUGGAAGCAACCUGCCAAAUAUAAAGCCGGGACGGAAAGGGACUCGGCCUUCUACUGCACCUCUUUAUUUAUUCAAGGGCAAAGAGGGUGGUCCAGAGCAACAGAUGCGAUGCAAUGCGAUGGUAAGCUCUGUCUGGGGCAUCAUACGACCAUGUGGUUCCCCUACUGCUUCCGCGCAGCCGAUGCAGAAGGAAUAGGAUGAGGGUAAAGGAAAAGUUCACCGAUGGUCCAUAUCACACUAUGUUUUGUCUUUGUCCAACCCGGAAGCAUCCCGAGGAUUUUAAUGACGAGCGAGCAAACAACCUCAAAUCAUACGAUGCGUGCAUCAGCAGGUAUGCUUGUUAUUAACUGAAAGAAACACACCAAUAAUUAUCAUGCAUGCUUGCAU